AUCAUUAGCCUUAGAUAAAGAGCAUGUUAGAAAAGUCAGAAGGAAAAGAUAUUGUAUAGCAGCCACCGCCAUCUUUCUUCUGGUUUUAUUAAUCAUAACAGCUCUUGCAGUUGCUAUCUACUUUAUAGAUAAUCAGAUGACUGAUAAUGGGACAGUUAUACCUAGGGCACCACCACCUAAAUCACAGUCACCUCUAGCAGCUGAUCCUGAUUUUGUGGCGAACCUGAAGGUAACAAAUUAUAAUUGGGAUCCGAGAAUGGC